rnacentral:rRNA from 1 species
AAUGAACGCUGGCGGCAUGCCUAACACAUGCAAGUCGAACGAAGGCUUCGGCCUUAGUGGCGCACGGGUGCGUAACGCGUGGGAAUCUGCCCUUGGGUUCGGAAUAACAGUUAGAAAUGACUGCUAAUACCGGAUGAUGUCGUAAGACCAAAGAUUUAUCGCCCAAGGAUGAGCCCGCGUAGGAUUAGCUAGUUGGUGGGGUAAAGGCCUACCACGGCGACGAUCCUUAGCUGGUCUGAGAGGAUGAUCAGCCACACUGGGACUGAGACACGGCCCAGACUCCUACGGGAGGCAGCAGUGGGGAAUAUUGGACAAUGGGCGAAAGCCUGAUCCAGCAAUGCCGCGUGAGUGAUGAAGGCCGUAGGGUUGUAAAGCGCUUUUACCCGGGAUGAUAAUGACAGUACCGGGAGAAUAAGCGCCGGCUAACUUCGUG